GACGAACGCUGGCGGCGUGCUUAACACAUGCAAGUCGAACGGAAAGGCCCUGCUUUUGUGGGGUGCUCGAGUGGCGAACGGGUGAGUAACACGUGAGUAACCUGCCCUUGACUUUGGGAUAACUUCAGGAAACUGGGGCUAAUACCGGAUAGGAGCUCCUGCUGCAUGGUGGUGUUUGGAAAGUUUCGGCGGUUGGGGAUGGACUCGCGGCUUAUCAGCUUGUUGGUGGGGUAGUGGCUUACCAAGGCUUUGACGGGUAGCCGGCCUGAGAGGGUGACCGGCCACAUGGGGACUGAGAUACGGCCCAGACUCCUACGGGAGGCAGCAGUGGGGAAUAUUGCACAAUGGGCGGAAGCCUGAUGCAGCAACGCCGCGUGCGGGAUAACGGCCUUCGGGGUGUAAACCGCUUUCGCCUGUGACGAAGAGUGAGUGACGGUAAUGGGUAAAGAAGCACCGGCUAACUACGUG
rnacentral:rRNA from 1 species